rnacentral:pre_miRNA from 1 species
AUGUAGGAUGAUUUGUCUUUAGGGAGGGAUACAGCACUUUAAAUAGAGAGUUUUCCCUUCAAGUCAAGCAUUCAGU